ensembl:lncRNA
CAGCCAAUGAUGCGAUUCACAUACGUAUUUACCAUAGACUGUAUAUAAUGGUAUUUACGCAGCUAAUCUACGUCAGACGUCCUUAUGUGCAGCUACCGUUGUUGUCAUAGAUAUGAAUGAGUAGAUAGGACACGCCCCUUUGAGCUGCGUGCUACAGCGAGGCUAAGCUAGUGGGGAAAAAGUUUCAGUGCAUUCCGUUGAUGUAGACGGCGUGAAAACGGAAACAAGAAGUAUGCCGGCUCACUGUGCUGCAUACAAUUACACACUACGUUGUACGAUUGAGACAAGGAAACUUGGAAUGACUUUUCAUAGGUUUCCCAGAGACUAUGGGGUUGAGGAGGAAUUGGAAGUUUGUCGGCUUAGACCUGGUGUCAUUCCAUCAGUGUUAAACUUCCCGGCUCAUCUUGGAAGAGUACGUGCCAGAAAGACCACAACCAAUCAGCCUUGAGAUCUUAGGCAGCGUCUCCCUGAGGUCCCUCUCUAUCUCCCCACACAUCCACCAACCACUGGAACACAUCUCCAAAGUUCUGCUGGGCCAGCUCAGCUUCCCCUCAGAAGAAGUGCUGCCACCUGCCAGAUGAAGGAGCCUUUUGAGAGGCAGCUGACAUCGUGAUUGGACUGUACUUUGGUCUGUUCCAAUCCAGCUUCAGCUCCAGAGACGGCAGGCAGGACGAGUCAACGGAGGCCUGGUGGACGAAGGCAUGCAGCUGAGUACAAUCCAGAAAACAACAGAGGAGGAGUGCAGGGCCAGAACAACCAGAGUAGCAUCGUAUGUCUCUUAGAAAACAUCAUAGUAUAGCCUUUGCUAUGAAAAAACACCAUCAUAUACAUCGUAUAUUGUACAAAUAACAAGUCAAAGGAAAGAGACAUACAUUGUAGAAUUGUAGUAAUUGUGGGCUGACUGAUUUGCUGAUUAUCAGUAUUUUAUUUUUUGCUGAUUUACGGUAAUAAAUACAUUUAAAAAUGGUGCUACUUUGGCUCUGAACCUUUAUCUACCUGUGGUCGCUCUGUCUUCUGGAGUGAUUUGAUUGGUCAUACGUAACGAAUAAAACUCCUUUAACUUAACAUCUGUAAACAAAACAAAAACGUAUCAACAAAGUUUUCUGUUAGAGUUUGUGUUCUUCAAAGUUUAACUCCAAGAUUUUAAAUACUUUCAUUUACUGCAAAUGAAUAUCUACUCCAAAUGUCUCACUAAUAAUCAUUAUCAGCCUUAAAAACCCACAAAACACCCCUCUAUACUGGACCACACUUAGUACAGUCCGGUUCCCCCUUCUAUAAAUCUGCUUGGAAUCUUCCACUUCCUGUUUGUCAAAGUGGC